rnacentral:rRNA from 1 species
CCUACGGGAGGCUGCAGUGAGGAAUAUUGGUCAAUGGCCGGAAGGCUGAACCAGCCAUGCCGCGUGAAGGUCAGUGCCCUAUGGGCGUUAAACUUCUUUUGUGCGGGAGCAAUAAUGGUCACGUGUGGCCAGACGAGAGUACCGUACGAAUAAGCAUCGGCUAACUCCGUGCCAGCAGCCGGGGUAAUACGGGGGAUGCAAGCGUUUUCCGGAUUUAUUGGGUUUAAAGGGUGCGUAGGCUGGGAGGUAAGUCAGCGGUGAAAUGCCCCCGCUCAACGGGGUGAAGUGCCAUUGAUACUGCCCUGCUAGAAUGCGGAUGCCGUAGGAGGAAUGUGUGGUGUAGCGGUGAAAUGCAUAGAGAUCACACAGAACACCGAUUGCGAAGGCAGCUCACGAAUCCGCGAUUGACGCUGAUGCACGAAAGCGUGGGUAUCAAACAGGAUUAGAUACCCGAGUAGUC